rnacentral:rRNA from 1 species
CGGCGAACGGGUGAGUAACACGUGGGCAACCUACCCCUCUGUCCGGGAUAACCCACCGAAAGGUGGGCUAAUACCGGAUGACGUCCCUGUGGGGCAUCCUGUGGGGACCAAAGGGGGCGAGCGCAAGCGGCUCUCGCGGAGGGAUGGGCCUGCGGCUGAUUAGCUAGUUGGCGGGGUAACGGCCCACCAAGGCUCUGAUCAGUAGCCGACCUGAGAGGGUGAUCGGCCACACUGGGACUGAGAUACGGCCCAGACUCCUACGGGAGGCAGCAGUGGGGAAUCUUGCGCAAUGGGCGAAAGCCUGACGCAGCGACGCCGCGUGGGCGAUGAAGGCCUUCGGGUUGUAAAGCCCUGUCGGGUGGAACGAACGCCAGGUCGGCGAACAACCGGCCUGGCCGACGGUACCACCGAAGGAAGCCCCGGCUAACUACGUGCCAGCAGCCGCGGUAAUACGUAGGGGGCAAGCGUUGUUCGGAUUUACUGGGCGUAAAGCGCGCGUAGGCGGCCCUGCAAGUCCGAUGUGAAAUCCCUCGGCUCAACCGGGGACCCGCGUCGGAAACUGCAGGGCUUGAGGGCAGGAGAGGAGAGCGGAAUUCCCAGUGUAGCGGUGAAAUGCGUAGAUUUUUGGGGAGGAACACCGGUGGCGAAGGCGGCUCUCUGGACUGCUACUGACGCUGAGGCGCGAAAGCUAGGGGAGCAAACGGGAUUAGAUACCCCGGUAGUCCUAGCCGUAAACGUUGGGCACUAGGUGUGGGAGGUAUCGACCCCUUCCGUGCCGCAGCUAACGCAUUAAGUGCCCCGCCUGGGGAGUACGGGCCGCAAGGUUGAAACUCAAGGAAUUGACGGAGGCCCGCACAAGCGGUGGAGCAUGUGGUUUAAUUCG